CCUACGGGUGGCAGCAGUGAGGAAUAUUGGUCAAUGGGCGUAAGCCUGAACCAGCCAAGUCGCGUGAGGGAUGAAGGUUCUACGGAUCGUAAACCUCUUUUAUAAGGGAAUAAAGUGCGGGACGUGUCCCGUUUUGUAUGUACCUUAUGAAUAAGGAUCGGCUAACUCCGUGCCAGCAGCCGCGGUAAUACGGAGGAUCCGAGCGUUAUCCGGAUUUAUUGGGUUUAAAGGGUGCGUAGGCGGCCUGUUAAGUCAGCGGUGAAAGUCUGUGGCUCAACCAUAGAAUUGCCGUUGAAACUGGGAGUCUUGAGUAUGUGUGAGGCAGGCGGAAUGCGUGGUGUAGCGGUGAAAUGCUUAGAUAUCACGCAGAACCCCGAUUGCGAAGGCAGCCUGCCAAGCCAUGACUGACGCUGAUGCACGAAAGCGUGGGUAUCAAACAGGAUUAGAUACCCUAGUAGUC
rnacentral:rRNA from 1 species